AAUUAAUGCAUCUAUUUUACCUAUAAUUUAAAAAGAAAAAAAAAUGUCUAGAAAGAGCAGAAACACUUUCCUUACCCAGGCUCUUAUUAUCAAUUUAAGUUGACUUAGAUCCAAAGGAGGAAAGGCUGGGAAGUGAAAGGGCGUUGACCCAGGGUGAAAGAGGGGUGGGAAGCUCAGGGAAGGGUUUCCGUCUUGGAAAAGACCAAAAUAAGAGCUUCCACGGAAGUAAAGAUUCAUGCAGGAAAGGCCUGGAAACCUGACCAUUAAGUGGAGGGCUCCCGUGGUCCUAAUCCCCCCCGAUGGUGACUGAUAACCCCCAUUGUGUCUGGGCCUAGUGCUUCCGGGCAGGAAGCCACAGCCUCUGUACCAGGGAUAAGGCAGGCUGGGAGCAGGCCUGGUGAGGGCAUCUCACUGCUACUUCCUUCUCUUAAGGAGGGUCGGGGUCACGCUCCCUUUCCCAGGACCUCAGAGGUCUGAGAGGUCACGGCUGGUGUGGGCUGCAGUGGAAUCCUGCCUCUUCCGUGUGAAGGGCCUUGCUCCGUCUCCCAGACUGGAGUGCAAUGGUGUAAUCUCAGCUCACUGCAAACUCCACCUCCUGGAUUCAAAGAUUCUCCUGCCUCAGCCUUCUAAGUAGCUGGAUUACAGGUAUGUGCCACCCCGUGCCCAUAAUUUGUAUAUUUUUAGUGAAGACAGGGUUUUACUAUGUUGGCCAGUUUGGCUGGAACUCCUGAUCUCAAGUGAUUUGCCCACUUCAGCCUCCCAAAGUGCUGGGAUUACAGGCAUGAGCCACUGCACCUGGCCAUAAUCCAAUCUUUUUUUUAAAUUGCAUUUUAGGUUUUGGGGUACAUGUGAAGAACAUGCAAGAUAGUUGCAUAGGUACACACAUGGCAGUGUGAUUUGCUG
rnacentral:lncRNA from 1 species